AGUGAACGCUGGCGGUAGGCCUAACACAUGCAAGUCGAACGGCAGCACAGUAAGAGCUUGCUCUUACGGGUGGCGAGUGGCGGACGGGUGAGGAAUACAUCGUAAUCUACUUUUUCGUGGGGGAUAACGUAGGGAAACUUACGCUAAUACCUCAUACGACCUACGGGUGAAAGCAGGUGAUCUUCGGACCUUUCGCGAUUGAAUGAGCCGAUGUCGGAUUAGCUAGUUGGCGGGGUAAAGGCCCACCAAGGCGACGAUCCGUAGCUGGUCUGAGAGGAUGAUCAGCCACACUGGAACUGAGACACGGUCCAGACUCCUACGGGAGGAAGGAGUGGGGAAUAUUGGACAAUGGGCGCAAGCCUGAUACAGCCAUACAGCGUGGGUGAAGAAGGCAUUCGGGUUGUAAAGCCCUUUUGUUGGGAAAGAAAAGCAGCAGGUUAAUACCCCGCUGUUCUGACGGUACCCAAAGAAUAAGCACCGGCUAACUUCGUG
rnacentral:rRNA from 1 species